rnacentral:rRNA from 1 species
UACAGAGGGGGCAAGCGUUGUUCGGAAUUACUGGGCGUAAAGGGCGCGUAGGCGGUUUGUCGCGUCGGCCGUGAAAACUUGGGGCUUAACCCCAAGCCUGCGGUCGAUACGGGCAGACUUGAGUUCGGCAGGGGAGACUGGAAUUCCUGGUGUAGCGGUGAAAUGCGUAGAUAUCGAGAGGAACACCUGCGGCGAAGGCGGGUUGCUGGGCUGACACUGACGCUGAAGCGCGAAAGCUAGGGGAGCGAACGGG